rnacentral:lncRNA from 1 species
AUGCACCAACAUAAGAUGUGACGCAGUAAACACGAAACCUCAAACAUGUGAUGCUAGAACCAGUGAGAUUUUGGUCACAUAUUUGCACUUGCAUUUCAAACAGUCAAAUAUCAAUUUAAUUUGAAUGAAACGAGUUGCACUUGCAUUUCAAACAGUCAAAUAUCAAUUUAAUUUGAAUGAAACGAGUUGAUUCAAAUGUACAGUUUUGCUAUAUUAAUUUUAGUAUCAGUAAUAUAAAGGGAAUGUUCCUGCCACGUUGUCAAUCGCUAAUAUGAAGCAGCCAAGAGAGAGAGAGAUUUAUAUUUAAAGCUUUUUCUUUGCCUAUCUGAGUCUGAAAUCUGAAAACAAUCUGAGGGAGAGAGAAAAAAUAACGUGAUUUUGAAUAUUACUUUGACUUAGAAUAACACUUGAAAAAAAAAAAAAACAUUUGUUAUAAUUAGGGAUGCAUGACAUUAAUGCGCAUCUCGUCAGUAAAGCUGGUUCUGUAAUCAGCGGUAAAUCUCUACACGUUGGUGCUUUCACAUGGAGCAGCAUUUACUACACAGAGCCGUUGUUCACUCACGAGCUGCGCUUUUGUGAUAUUUAUCGUGCAUCCCUAGUUAUAAUUCAUCAACAGCAUUACAGCACUUAAUAAUGUAGGUCAAUUAUUUUUUUUAUAAAUGACAAAUGUAGGCUACUAAUACAUGUUUAGUAUGUUAACAUUACUUUAUGCAUUAAACACAUACCUAACAUUAACCAAGAUUAAUAAUUACUAGAAAUGAUGAUCAUUCACUUUUUUUUUCUUUUUCAGUUCACUUAUUUUUGGAGGCUGGUUAUUUGCCACCUAUGGUAGUGCUGGGCGGUUUGACCAAAAAUUUAUAUCACGGUUUUUUCUAAAUUAUGCCGGUUUCCCGGUUUAUGACGGUUUUUUGUUUCUCAUGCAUAAUCAGGUGUACGAUGCAUUUUCUGUUGGUUGAUAUUCCAAGACGUGCUUUUAGCCCGACAGCACUUGCAUAAAAUGGUUGUUUGGUCGACAUCGGAUUUUUGGAAACCAAAAACCCUCCAAACAACAGACCAGGCUCCUCUUUUUCGCCUGUUUCACACAUACUCCGUCUGCAGUGGGACGCGUUUGCAGUCCGCUACUGAUCCGCGGCUGUUUAGUCCACAAACACAACAUUUGUUCAUUGUUUUGAUUUCAUAUCAUGUUUGGGCUGUCGUAUGCCUCUAGUUUGAGCUCCGUCACGUUAUUCUCUAUCUUCUAUUUUUAUUGUAUGAU